rnacentral:rRNA from 1 species
UGGGGAAUUUUCCGCAAUGGGCGAAAGCCUGACGGAGCAAUGCCGCGUGGAGGUGGAAGGCCUACGGGUCGUCAACUUCUUUUCUCGGAGAAGAAACAAUGACGGUAUCUGAGGAAUUAGCAUCGGCUAACUCUGUGCCCG